rnacentral:rRNA from 1 species
AACGCUAGCUACAGGCUUAACACAUGCAAGUCGAGGGGCGAGCAUUGGGAUAGCUUGCUAUCCAGAUGGCGACCGGCGCACGGGUGAGUAACGCGUAUCCAACCUUCCCUAUAGUAGAGAAUAGCCCGGCGAAAGUCGGAUUAAUGCUCUAUGUUGUGUUUUGAGGACAUCUGACGAACACCAAAGGUUCACCGCUAUAGGAUGGGGAUGCGUCUGAUUAGCUUGUUGGCGGGGUAACGGCCCACCAAGGCGACGAUCAGUAGGGGUUCUGAGAGGAAGGUCCCCCACAUUGGUACUGAGACACGGACCAAACUCCUACGGGAGGCAGCAGUGAGGAAUAUUGGUCAAUGGGCGAGAGCCUGAACCAGCCAAGUAGCGUGCAGGAAUGACUGCCCUAUGGGUUGUAAACUGCUUUUAUCAGGGAAUAAAGUGCGGCACGUGUGCCGUUUUGUAUGUACCUGAUGAAUAAGGACCGGCUAAUUCCGUGCCAGCCGCCGC